GUCUUGCUGAUUUGAGGAAGUCGUCUGGAUCAAUAGCAGGUACCAGCCCCUCAACCACCUUGUACAUAAAAUAUAAGCUUUUGGCUCGUGCGUCUCAAUUGUAGUUCCUGUAGUUUCUAAUUUUGUAAGCAUGUUUGUUAUGCAGCCAUCUUCUCUAGUUCUGUAAUUGCCUGUUAUAAAGCGUGCUGCUUGUCUUUGUAUUCUUUCUAGCUUGUUUGAGUCUGCAAUACUGUAGGGGUCCCAUACUGUUGCUGCAUAUUCCAUUGUAGAUCUUACUAAGGAAAUGUAAGCAGUUUUCUUACAUUCCUGUGGGCAGUAUCGUAAAUUUCUUCUGAGGAAGCCUAGGGUUGAGUUAGCCUUUUUGGCAACGUUUGUUAUAUGCGUGCUCCACUUCAGGUCUUCUGAUAUCUGCACUCCUAGGUAUGGGUUGCUCUGAACUUGUUGGAGUAUGUGGCCGUUGAGUGUAUAGAAUCUCUGGCUUUUGUUCUUUAUGCUUAGUAUGUAGCAUUUCUUUGCGUUAAAUCGCAUACCCCAUUUAUUUGCCCAAUCUUCUAGGCUAGCUAGGUCUUCUUGUAGCAGUUUGUGAUCUUUCUCUGUUUUGAUGGUUCUGUAUAAUAGACAGUCAUCGGCGAACAGCCGUACUGAUGAUUUGACAGUGUCCGGGAGGUCAUUUAUAUGACAUAGGAAAAGUAAUGGUCCUAGAACUGUUCCCUGUGGAACACCUGAGU
rnacentral:lncRNA from 1 species